AGUAAAUUUUUUCCCAACUCUGAAUGAUUUGAACUAAUGAUUAGUUCCUGGAACGCAUGCUGGGCAGUUUUGAUGGGGCUUGACUGGAACUCUAACUGUUGGCAAAUAACCUCUCCAGAGCUGAAAGGUGUGGGGCUGGAGGAGGUUAUUUCUAAAAUCCUUCCACCACCAGUGUCACAUCUAGCAUGUCAGGGAAACGCAAGAUAAUGCUUGAGUGAGUGAAUGAGUGAAUGCCUACGUAUACAUUUCAGUGCUUGAAGGGAGGAUGGAGAUCAUUUUCUUUUAGUCGUCAGUUUGUCAGUGAGAAGGCUGAGACCCAAAUAAGUAGAGUGACUUAUUCAAGAUCACAUAAUUAGGGGUAGAGCUGGUUUAAAAAGCCAAGAUUCCUGAACAUAUUGUGCAAUCUUAACUUGAAAGAGAACCCAGAGAAAUGGGAGAAAAACUGGAGAAAACCUCAAAAGCUCACGCAGCUGCUAACUGAGAGUCAAGGUCUCCAAUGUUCAAUGUCAUUUUCCCUUCUCUGACUGCACAUCUGAUCCAAAGUGUUGCAGAUAAUUGCUUUUUGUUAAGGAAAGAACAUCCCCUUCUAGUUUAGGAGCAAUGGUGAUUCCAGUAAGGAAGAUCAUGGAAAAUAACUGUUUUAAAACCAUAAUUCUUAGGGAAACCAGAAAUUUUUAAGAGACCUCAAAUAGCUUGCACUGUUUAACCUUACCUAGGCUCAGUCUGCUUCCUGGUCAGGUAUGCAUAGUAAUACCUCGCAAAGCAUGGCGAGCUUUAAAUAACAUAAAGAACGUGACAGUGGCUUGCACACAACCUGGCAUAUGGGUGGCGUUCAGCAAAUACUUGUUGCAAGAAAAGGAGGAUAUCAUUGAUGAAACACACUCUCCAGCCCUAUCAACAGCCCACUUGACUCUGCUGGGAAGACUUGCUGGUGCCGUAUACACUUUGUUUGCAACGUGACCUGGAGAAUAACCUCGGGGGAGGAGGUAGCCAUUAGGAUGGAGCAAUUUAUAGCAAACACGUGCUGCUGUUUUGCUGCGGCACCCCAGGUUGCAGUUAGUCAGAAAUGGCUUCCCAUGUUUACUGGAAACGUCGAGACGUGUCUCAGUGACACUAAUGCUGCAAAUGCAGGUUUCAGUCUCAUACACGGGGACACAGGUCACUUGGCACACAGGCAGUCACUGCUCACCCAUGUAGAGCAAUAGGAAGAAUCCUGUACCAGGAAUCGGAGCACUGGGUUCUAGAGGUGGCCCCUUACAAGCUUUGUAAUCUCACGGCUUUACCUCUCUGAACCUCAGAAUCCUCUUCUGUGAAACAAGGGGGUUGAAUACAUGAUUUCUGACCCCUUCCCGCUUGAAAACACCAUGAUCUGUUUAGUUAUUGCACUCACAGCUUUGCAAGUAUUGCUGCUCAGUGAAAAUGUAAGUGCCAUACAUGUGUACCAUCACACACACACACACACACACACACACACACACACCCUUCUAGACCCAGAUUCUCCACUCAGGGAAAUAGCAUGAAAGAAAACCUGAUGCCCCAGUGAAUAGCCAUUUUACUCACCACCUUUAGAAUGACAUAGCCCAGCUGCUUCUGGGCUAGAACCUCAUCCUCCUUGUGACUCGAUGCUUCUGCUGCCAAAUGAGGUGGAGAACUGUCACAGUGCGUCCUUGGAUGAUGGACCGCAGAUGGAACACCCAGCAGGAAGUAACUCCUCCACCGAGGAUGGCAUUCAUCUCUACCACCUGCAUGGUUUUUGCUAUAACUAUGGAGUCUCAUUCUGUUGCCCAGGCUGGAGUGCAAUGGCGCGAUCUCAGCUCACUGCAAUCUCUGCCUCCUGAGUUUAAGCAAUUCUCCUGCCUCAGCCUCCUGAAUAGCUGGGAUUACAGGCUUGCACCACCAUGCCUGGCUUGUAUGUGGUGAUGAAUAUUUACCUUAUUUGAAGCUGCUGUUGUCAAAAGUUAUCUGGAACAGGUAAUGUGAGGCCUUCAGAGAUCUCUCUUUGAAAAUGAGAACAGAAACGACACACACUGGGGCCUAUAGGAGGGAGGAGGGUGGGAGGAGGGAGAAGAUCAGGAAAAAUAACUAAUGGGUACUGGCCUUAAUACCUGGGUGACAACAUCAUCUGCACAAUGAACCCCCAUGAUACAAAUUUAUUACCUAUGUAACAAACCUGCACAUAUACCCCUGAACUUAAAAUAAAAGUUAGAAAAAUGAAAAAAAAAA